rnacentral:tRNA from 1 species
CAAAUUAAAGCUUUAGAAGCAUCGUUAUUUACAUUAACGAAAAUGUUGUGCAAUUCGACAUAAUUUGA